GAUGAACGCUGGCGGCGUGCCUAAUACAUGCAAGUCGAGCGAACAGACGAGGAGCUUGCUCCUCUGACGUUAGCGGCGGACGGGUGAGUAACACGUGGAUAACCUACCUAUAAGACUGGGAUAACUUCGGGAAACCGGAGCUAAUACCGGAUAAUAUAUUGAACCGCAUGGUUCAAUAGUGAAAGACGGUUUUGCUGUCACUUAUAGAUGGAUCCGCGCCGCAUUAGCUAGUUGGUAAGGUAACGGCUUACCAAGGCAACGAUGCGUAGCCGACCUGAGAGGAGGAGCAGACACAGUGGAAAUGAGAGACGGUACAGACUCAGAGGGGAGGCAGCAGUGGGGAAUAGUGGAAAAGGGGCGAAAGCAUGAUGCAGAGAUGCCGAGUGUGUGAAGAAGGUCUUCGGAUUGUAAAGCACGUUAAGUUGGGAGGAAGGGAAGUAAGUUAAUACCGUGCUGUUUUGACGUUAACAACAGAAUAAGCACCGGCGAACUGCGU
rnacentral:rRNA from 1 species